GACAGAGUCAUCCCGAGUGUCUCCCGCUGAGGGAGGCUUUUACUCAGUGCAAAAGGCUGGGGGAAUAAGGGGGGGGCAAGUCGGGUGUCAGCCGCCGCGGUAAGACCCGCUCCCCGAGUGGUGAGGGCGAUUAUUGGGCUUAAAGCGUCCGUAGCUGGCCACGUAAGUUUCCCGUAAAAUUCAGCGGCCUAACCGUUGACACGCGGGAAAUACUGCGUGGCUUGGAGGCAGGAGAGGUCACGGGUAGUCCUCGGGUAGGGGCGGAAUCCUCUGAUCCGAGGAGGACCCCCAGUGGCGAAGGCGCGUGGCCAGAAUGCGCUCGACAGUGAGGGACGAAAGCUAGGGGAGCGAACCGGAUUAGAUACCCGGGUAGUCCUAGCCGUAAACGAUGCGGACUAGGCGUCGGGGCGGGUAUGACCUGCCCCAGUGCCGCAGGGAAACCAUUAAGUCCGCCGCCUGGGGAGUACGGCCGCAAGGCUGAAACUUAAAGGAAUUGGCGGGGGAGCACCACAGGGCGUGAAUGCUGCGGCUUAAUUGGAGUCAACGCCGGGAACCU
rnacentral:rRNA from 1 species